UGUAUCGCCUUCGAACAACAGAGUGGCAACGCAUAUUUGGUCCCACUUAAAACCUUUUAUCCUGGUGAUGUAGGCUUGCUUUAACCCUUGCAAAAUUAAACUACCCCAACCACUCUCUGGUCGCAACACCUGUCCGAACUGAAACUGUUCAUUGUCCAUCAAGCGUAUGCUAGCAGGUUGACAUCGUGCUUUAGCUACCUAUUUGUAAACACAAAAGGUAAUUACUGUCUCCACUGAAGUAACAGUGAAAAACAAAUAUUUUGUGCAAGUUACUGAAGCAACAACGAAAAACCACCUACUGGGGUUGUUGAAACUUAAAAAGAAGUUAAAAUUGAUUGAGCAGAGUUAUUAUUAAUAAAAUUGUGAAACAAUGAAGGAAUUAUUCAUGCUGCCUAUUAUAAUGGUUAUAUCGAAGUUAUAUGAAGUUAGUGACAACUGAUAUUUACCUGACGCAUUGCUGCUACACCGGUUUCAAAAUUUGGGAAAACUACACUACCAUAUUUGACUACUUUUGGUAACGGCCUAAUUUUCAUUACUACUUCUGUGACGACACCCAAGGUCCCUUCACUACCAAGGAUCAUGUGGUCAAAGUCUGGGCCACACGAAGCUCUGGGUACCAUGAUACCCCUUUCCAACGUUAUUUCAGUAUCUUCUGUUCUUCCAGUAACCAUCCUCACUCGUAUAACUAGGUCCUCGAUAUUCCCAUAGCGAUUCUUUUUCAUACCGCUUGCCCUCGUCGCCACCCAUCCUCCUAAGCUGUUCUUUCCAAAAAUAAAAACGAUUAUACGAGUAAUAAUUAAAGGAUUUACAUUACAGUUUCUAAUAUCUCAAAUGGACUUUUCAUAUCUUCAAAUUAUGAUAACAAACGAAUACUAACGAUUUUAGAUCAAAUAGACUGUUUUGAAGUUAUUAAAAUGACUACAAUAACAUUAAACACAUGUAACACAAAUUUUUGAAUAGCUGCUAUUUUUGCGUUCUUGAUGUAGGUGUUCUCUUAGAAUUAGUCUACCUAUUAUUAGGUAGACUAUUAUUAGGUAUUAUUAGAAUUAUUCUACCUAUUAUUAAUUAGUCUACCUAAAAGAACCUUCUCGAAUGCUUUUAUAAAUAAAUCACUUUCCCAGCUUUAGCGUAAGAUAGCAGCUAUUAUUCCGCGGCCUAUAGCUUGAAAAUAGCGAUUUACAUGAAAUUUAUUUUUUUAAUCAUACCCAAAGAAUGAAAUUUUAUUGCCAGGUAAGCAUAUAUUUUUAUAAAUUAUUUAAUAUUUUAUUUCAUGUACCUAGAGAAUUCAUAAGAAUCGGGUUCGUGGCCAGAAGUUAAUCCUUGAAGCCGUAAUUGUUUUUCGAGGUCCUGACCAAGAAUUCCAGACUCACAGCAGGCGAUUAAAUUUUCCCUAUCUACCCAUAAUAUUCUAUUCAUUUGGGAAGUGUCCAGCAAGAUAAUCGUUCGCUGCUCAUUUAUCGGGCAAGAUGAGGCACCGCUGACGCUUGUUCCACCACCAAAUGGUAAACAGACAGCCCCAUAGCGAGUACACAGUUUAAUCACUUUAACGACAUCAUCGUGGCACUCUAAAAAUAUAAUGCUUAAAUAUUAAGUGCACAAUUUAGUAAAUAAAUCUAAAAAACUGCAACAUCAAUCUAGAGAACCAGGUUGCAUUUCCGAGAACAUAUAAUAAAUUUUCCUCUUGUUCAAAAAGAUCUUGCUGAAUGAUUUGUUUCGAUUUUCGAUAAAACUUUGCAUAGAAUCAUUAUAACAAAAAAUCCAUUAAUGAUUUUCUGAAAUCUAUAUAUUUGCAAUAACGAAUUUUUGUGUAAGUGCAAAAUUACGGGAAUUAUACACGUAAACUGUAACAUAGCUAUUUAAUUUUCUAAUUUAUUUGUAAUUUGUUGAUGUCAAGCAUCUUAUUGUAGAUGUAUGGUUUCAGGAAGUAUAGCAUAGUACAUCUAAGUCAAGGCUUGAGAACUCUUUUGUUCCCACAGCCAUUCUAAUCAAUAACAGUGUAAAGUAGAGCUAAUUCGAACAAAAAAACACGAUUGGAAAGAAUCGUUCAAAUAGUAUUUAGAAAAUAUAAAUAUAUCUGUAAAAAGGAAAAUGUAUUAAUAUAAAUAAUUAUGAAUAAUUUACGCAGUAUUUGAUUAUAGACAAGAUAAAUUUUUGACUGCUUUUUUACGUACCGAAAUAGUAUGAAAAUCAAAAGUAAAUAAAUUAUGGUCUUCGUUUUGCUUUUAAGUGACUAUCAAAUCGAAAUUUCCUGUAGCUACGAUAAUUUGUUAAUGAUGAUCAUGAGUUCGGAUAGUAAGAAUGCGAUCAAUGGUGUGCCAUAAACUGAAAUCCAUCAUUCAAGUUUGAAAUUUAAAAAACGAGUUGUAUUUAAAUGAAAGUGUAGAUUUUAGAAAAGUCAUACCCAAGUUACAAAUAGACAAGUUAUGCCUAAAACAAAAAAUGUACUGUUGCCAUUGAAUCGAAUUAGCGUGUAUCUAUUCCACGAAAACGAUUUAAAAAAAAAAAAACGUGGACUAACAAUGGAAUAAAGUUUAAUAAGAUAGUUCUUCUUUAAAGGUACUGCAGUUUUAAAGUCCAUUGUUAUGACGCGUGGUUGCAGAUUAUUCGGUAAGCGUCAAAGUUUUAGUUGUGAAACAUCGUAACUGUCUACCUGACCUGCGUAACACUUUAGUCUUUCGCACAGGAUUUGUCCAACAUCUCAGUUUAGCAACCGUUACCAACACAAACAGACUGUUGGAUAUAUUUUCUAGGUAGAAAAUAGUCUGCAUUUCUUGAUUUAUUCGCUGCUAUUAAACCAGGUGUUUAAUUUUCUAUCUAUAUUUCGAUUUUGGUGUAUAAUAAUAUUUCGUAUAUAGAGAAAAGUGAAAAUAGCGAACGACAAAUAUUGAAAAUAACGACCGAAUCGAAACGGUCGCAGUGUGUGGUAAAUAUAAUUUAAUAACGUUGAAGUAGAUAUAUCAAGUUUGAUGUCGUGCAACGAUCUGUGCGAGGUUUUCAAAACAUUACAUAUGGGACACCAGGUCACAAGCUCCGUCUUUCGCAAGCAUCUGGAUCCAAUGCUUACCUAACAUAUCACCAAUGAUAAUGGACGGAGUGGAGGAAUGCACAGCUUUAGUUGGCUCGGCAACUCCGUAAGUACUGGCCCGUACUGCGAAGUGGAACCCACCAGCAAGUCAGUCGAUGGAUUCAAACCGCCCAACAUCUUUCCUCAUAGCAACGCGUAUAUAAGAUAAAGAAACGAACGUACGAACCAGAGCAUGCAUCGCUUCCGGUAAAUAAAACCAAACUCAAAACAUAAAAUGUA